UUAUCCGGAUUUAUUGGGCGUAAAGCGCGCGUAGGCGGCUUGUUAAGCAAGAUCUUAAACCUGGGGGCUCAACCUUCAGUUGGAUUUUGAACUGGCAGGCUCGAGUUUGGUAGAGGAAAGUGGAAUUCCCAGUGUAGCGGUGAAAUGCGCAGAUAUUGGGAAGAACACCGAUGGCGAAGGCAGCUUUCUGGGCCAUAACUGACGCUGAGGUGCGAAAGCUAGGGGAGCAAACAGGAUUAGAUACCCUGGUAGUCCUAGCCGUAAACGAUGGGCACUAGGUGUGGGGAAGCAUCUUCUCCGUGCCGCAGCUAACGCAUUAAGUGCCCCGCCUGGGGAGUACGGCCGCAAAGCUAAAACUCAAAGGAAUUGACGGGGGCCCGCACAAGCAGCGGAGCAUGUGGCUUAAUUC
rnacentral:rRNA from 1 species